rnacentral:rRNA from 1 species
CUUUUUUUCUUUUUCUUUUUCUUUUUUCUCAGCACGUGUGUCUGCGACUCUGCGUAGUAGGAAGAAGGGGAGGGUAGGGGUUGCUGCUGCCGCUCGGUACAGGCGGCGGUGGCGGAGAAGCGGCGUCGGCGGCCUCCGGUAGGCGCCUUGGGAGUAGGGGCAGGACGGGCUGCUGGACCGGCAGGUCACGUAGCGCGAGGAGGGCGCGCGGCGCGUGGGUUGGGAGCGGGAGCAGAGGGCGCGCGACGUGCGCGAGGAGACGGAGGUGGGCCUCGGGGAGGAGCGGCGGGCCGCGGCGGAGGCGGCGAGGCUGGGGGUGUAGCAGCAGAGCCAGGCCGGCGGGAUGAGGCGCAGGGGAGCGAAGAAGGACGACGACGGCGUAGGGCCCACCGGGGGAGACGGAGAGGGGAGGGGGGGCUAGGGGCAGAGGAGGAGGAGCCGGCAGCGGCAGUUGCCCGUGGCCGAGAUGGAGCAGCCGCCUAGGCACCGGCCCUAGGGGCGAAGCAGCCACGUCUAGGACCUGUGGGCGUGGUCUAGGACCAGGUAGCCGGGCGCGGAGAGGAGGGGCGCCCUCAAGCGACGGCGGCGCCAGGAAGGGCCAGACGAUAAGCAGCGGCCUCCGACACAAGGCAGCAGGGGUAAGACCCGGCUCCGAGAGCUGGAACGAAGGGGAACGCGGUCCACCAGGUGCCAGGGGUCGGGCCUGGUGGAGGCCCUCUUCACCUACGUGCCGACGCACAGCGAGCGGCCCUUCCAGGAACGCCACCGGCUGGCGCCGCCGAACCAGAUGGUGGGCCGCCGCGGUGGACCACUCCGCACCCACGGCCAGAGGGGCCAGGAACUGUACCCUACCUUCCCGGCACGACGGCACCAGCCACCUUAGGAGAUGAGGAUGCUAAUGUACCCCGUCCAGUUCCCUAUACUAGGUCUAUGACUACGGACCUUGUGCCACCUUCCCAACCUCUUCCUCGACGGCUCCAAGGACACACCACGGUGAGAACGGUUACAGCCGCCUAACGAGAUGGACUAGACCCUUCCCUUCAACUUUCCCUUUCGAUCAUUACUUUUUCCGUUUCACUUCCUGUACAACCACUAACUUACCCGAUGGUAACUCCAGUGCUCCCGGCUUCUCCCCGCCAAUUCACCCUUCCAUUAUAGGUCCCUAUGACGACACAAGUGUCUGUACGGCUCCCCAAGACGCUAGUGUGUAACGUAAAGUAACCUAGAUACUGUACCAACGACGUCUACACUUCGUUCCUCUCAUACGGACAAAGUAGUUUUCUAAUUAACAACCGACUCUGAGAGCUUUUUGAGCCAUAACACACGUCAUGUCGAACUGUAAACGCCCCUUACGAAGCGACCUCCCUUUGUCUCGUUAUUAUUUGGACAGACCUACCAUGGUACUAAGUUCUACUCGAACUAAGUCGGGUGACACCCACACCAGAAAAAGGAACUCUCUGUCCCUCGCCCUUGAUGAGCUGGCCUCCAGACGUAAAACUAAAGCGUCAGGAAAGAAGACCGAUCUACACAAAGAGGUCGUUUUAGCACAUGUGAUUUUGCUUCACUUUGUUCCAUUCGUUCUGACGGUACAGCGUUCCGACAUAUACAACCCGGACAGCAUGUUCGUACCUUCUUGACAACGACAGAACAAAGGAAGCACCCGUGAUACUUCUUCAGUGCUUCUUUCAUUUCGAACUUCUUCUAAAACCAUUCUUUUUGAACCACUCACAAACCGGUCAACCUACCACCAAACGACUGCACAGUAACAGUACUUAUUCGGUUCUUUAUACCAGUCGACCUCGUCGUGUCUGUAAUCUUUGUGUAGGUAACCAUGACGUGUCUUCGAAGCGUAAGCCUCUCAGCGAUGUCUUGUGGCCACUGCACAUGUUGUGCUCGUUCUACUCGUCGGGGGGUUCGAUACCUUCCACAGAUCGCUCGGCGACGUCUUGUGGCUACUGCACAUGUUGUGCUCGUUCUACUCCGUUAGCGGCUCCUUCUCAACGGGACGGUUGUGUCGGGUAUGUAGAAGUGGAAAGUGCGGUAACAGCUCCACCAACCGCCGCCGAUGGCACAGUAGAGGCACCCUGUCAUCCUCGUGGGAGUUGUACGUUCUUCGCAUUACAGUCGGUUAGAGCACUCUAGUUUCGCCGUAUACAAACGAGAUAGCCUGUAUACCAAGGAGAAACUACAACAACUCCAAAGCACCUAUACGACCACCGUCGGACCUAACUAUGCUGCCAAAGCCACGCAUGAGACCAUCACCGCUUUCGCGCGCUCACGGGCCGGCCCGUACAACACCCUACAACUGGAAGGCCGCAAAACAUACAGAAACCACGAAAUCCGGAUCAGAACGGUCCACGACAAAUCCAGAAACAGGCCAAAAGGAGCUAUUUGGCUCGUCGAGGAAAAAGUAAAGAAGAAAAAAUCGUGAGCGGAAAUACACCACGUAAUGAGGAAACACCACAAGAACAUUACGGGAAAGAUUAGUUACAACCAUCGAGAGGAUGGUUUUAAGCUUUUUUUUUUAGAAACCAGGCUAGGCCC